UACGAAGGGGGCUAGCGUUGCUCGGAUUGACUGGGCGUAAAGGGCGCGUAGGCGGUUUGCAUAGUCAGACGUGAAAUUCCUGGGCUUAACCUGGGGGCUGCGUUUGAUACAUGCAGGCUUGAGUUCGGAAGAGGGUCGUGGAAUUCCCAGUGUAGAGGUGAAAUUCGUAGAUAUUGGGAAGAACACCGGUGGCGAAGGCGGCGACCUGAUCCGAUACUGACGCUGAGGCGCGAAAGCGUGGGGAGCAACAGG
rnacentral:rRNA from 1 species